GGGCGACAGGCCGCAAGGUGUGGCAGGGGACUGUAACUCCCUCGCGGAGACGCACGCUAGGUUCGAUUCCUAGGUCGCCCACCA
rnacentral:tRNA from 29 species